rnacentral:lncRNA from 1 species
AGUUGGUUUAUUAAGAAUUCAUCUCUUCCUGCUGUUUACGGGUUGCCUAAAGUUCCACUCCCCCACAUGUGACAUCACCACCGAUGACUAGAUUGCGCCAACAUUCUGUAAGCGGCAGGUGAAAGAGGCAGCAAAGAAGCCACAAAGAAGUCUUAAGAGACAGCAAUGAUUGUCUUCGGCUCCUAUCUAUCCACAGAGGUGUACCCUCUCUAAUAGUCUACCAGUACCUGUGAUCACAUCUCCUUCAGCCCCUAUUUUCACCAUAGACACAACCAUGACUUCAACACUAACCCCAGACACACUAGGACUCUCCUCACAUCCCAUUUAAAGGUGAAGCACUCUCUCCUGCCUUCCUCCCG